ACUUGGAGAUUAAGUGAAAAUAAUUCGGUUAAGUAGUUAAGUUGAGUAUUAAUUUAUAAUAGAAUUUAAAAUAAUAAAGGGUAAAAUUGGAUUAUUAUUUAAUAAAUAAAAAUAAUAAAUUAAUAUAUUUUAUAUGAAGCUAUAAAAUUUAAGAUUCAAACUAGGAUUAGAUACCCUAUUAUGCUUAAACUUAAAAUAAUUAGACUUGAAAAUUAAUAGAUAUAAACUUUAAACUCAAAGAAUUUGGCGGUAUUUUAGUCUUAUUAGAGGAACCUGUUUUAUAAAUGAUAAACCACGUAAUAUCUUACUUAUUUUUAUAUAAUAUGUAUACCGUCAUUAUUAAAUAACUCUAAAAAGAUAAGUUGUUAAAAUCAAAAAGAUUAAGAAUAUUAGAUCAAGGUGCAGUUAAUGGAUAAGUAAAAAUGGGUUACAAUAAAUUAUAUUUAUACGGAUUAAGAUAAGAAUUUAAAUUAAGAAGGUGGAUUUAAUAGUAAAAGUGAAUAUAAUAAGGCAUUUUGAUUAUAGCUCUAAAUUAUGUACACAUCGCC
rnacentral:rRNA from 1 species